rnacentral:rRNA from 1 species
UACAGAGGUCCCAAGCGUUGUUCGGAUUCACUGGGCGUAAAGGGUGCGUAGGUGGUGAGGUAAGUCGGAUGUGAAAUCUCCGAGCUCAACUCGGAAAUGGCAUUGGAAACUACCUUGCUAGAGGGUUGGAGGGGGGGACUGGAAUGCUUGGUGUAGCAGUGAAAUGCGUAGAUAUCAAGCGGAACACCAGUGGCGAAGGCGAGUCCCUGGACAACUCCUGACACUGAGGCACGAAAGCUAGGGGAGCAAACAGG